CAAGUCGAACGCGAAAGUGGAGCAAUCCAUGAGUAGAGUGGCAAACGGGUGAGUAACACGUGGGUGACCUGCCUUCGAGCGGGGGAUAACGUCCCGAAAGGGACGCUAAUACCGCAUGACAUCCUGUCUUUUAACAGAUGGAGAUCAAAGCCGGGGAUCGCAAGACCUGGCACUCGAAGAGGGGCCCGCGCCUGAUUAGCUAGUUGGUGAGGUAACGGCUCACCAAGGCGACGCUCAGUAUCCGGCCUGAGAGGGCGGACGGACACACUGGGACUGAGACACGGCCCAGACUCCUACGGGAGGCAGCAGUGGGGAAUUGUUCGCAAUGGGCGCAAGCCUGACGACGCAACGCCGCGUGGAGGAUGAAGAUCUUCGGGUCGUAAACUCCUUUCGAUCGAGACGAACGGCUUCCGGGUGAACAAUCUGGAAGAGUGACGGUACCGAGAGAAGAAGCCCCGGCUAACUCCGUGCCAGCAGCCGCGGUAAUACGGGGGGGGCAAGCGUUGUUCGGAAUUACUGGGCGUAAAGGGCUCGUAGGCGGCCAACUAAGUCAGACGUGAAAUCCCUCGGCUUAACCGGGGAACUGCGUCUGAUACUGGAUGGCUUGAGUUUGGGAGAGGGAUGCGGAAUUCCAGGUGUAGCGGUGAAAUGCGUAGAUAUCUGGAGGAACACCGGUGGCGAAGGCGGCAUCCUGGACCAACACUGACGCUGAGGAGCGAAAGCCAGGGGAGCAAACGGGAUUAGAUACCCCGGUAGUCCUGGCCCUAACGAUGAAUGCUUGGUGUGGCGGGUAUCGAUCCCUGCCGUGCCGAAGCUAACGCAUUAAGCAUU
rnacentral:rRNA from 1 species